GACGAACGCUGGCGGCGUGCUUAACACAUGCAAGUCGAACGGAAAGGCCCUGCUUUUGUGGGGUGCUCGAGUGGCGAACGGGUGAGUAACACGUGAGUAACCUGCCCUUGGCUUUGGGAUAACUUCAGGAAACUGGGGCUAAUACCGGAUAGGAGCUCCUGCUGCAUGGUGGGGGUUGGAAAGUUUCGGCGGUUGGGGAUGGACUCGCGGCUUAUCAGCUUGUUGGUGGGGUAGUGGCUUACCAAGGCUUUGACGGGUAGCCGGCCUGAGAGGGUGACCGGCCACAUUGGGACUGAGAUACGGCCCAGACUCCUACGGGAGGCAGCAGUGGGGAAUAUUGCACAAUGGGCGGAAGCCUGAUGCAGCAACGCCGCGUGCGGGAUGACGGCCUUCGGGUUGUAAACCGCUUUCGCCUGUGACGAAGCGUGAGUGACGGUAAUGGGUAAAGAAGCACCGGCUAACUACGCG
rnacentral:rRNA from 1 species